rnacentral:rRNA from 1 species
AUUGAACGCUGGCGGCAGGCCUAACACAUGCAAGUCGAGCGGGGCGGCGGACGGGAGAGUAAUGCCUAGGAAUCGGCCUGGGAGUGGGGGAUAACGUCCGGAAACGGGCGCUAAUACCGCAUACUAUCAGAUGAGGCUAGGUCGGAUUUGCUAGUUGGGGGGGUACAGGCCUAGCAAGGCGACGAUCCGUAACUGGUCUGAGAGGAUGAUCAGUCACACUGGAACUGAGACACUGUCCAGACUCCUACGGGAGGCAGCAGUGGGGAAUAUUGGACAAUGGGCGAAAGCCUGAUCCAGCCAUGCCGCGUGUGUGAAGAAGGUCUUCGGAUUGUAAAGCACUUUAAGUUGGGAGGCGUUACCAACAGAAUAAGCACCGACUAACUUCGUGCCAGCAGCCGCGGUAAUAC